AGAUUUUGCGAAAAGGAUCUGCUGAAAGUGGUUGACAGGGAGUAUGUAUUUUCCUACAUAGAUGACCCAUGCAGUGGUACAUACCCACUGAUGCAAAAACUUAGGCAAGUGCUUGUAGACCAUGCCUUGAUAAAUGCAGAGAAUGAGAAGGAUGUCAACACAUCAAUCUUUCAAAAGAUUGCAACCUUUGAGGAGGAGUUGAAGACCAUCUUGCCAAAGGAGGUUGAAAGUACAAGGGCUGCUUAUGAGAGUGGGAAAGCUGCGAUUCCAAACAAGAUAAAAGAAUGCAGAUCUUACCCACUCUACAAGUUUGUGAGAGAGGAGUUGGGCACUGGGUUGCUAACUGGAGAAAAGGUGAAGUCACCAGGUGAAGAGUUUGACAAAUUAUUCACAGCAAUAUGCCAGGGCAAAAUUAUUGAUCCUCUACUCGAAUGCCUUGGAGAGUGGAAUGGAGCUCCUCUUCCAAUAUGUUAAUUUUAUUGUCACUUUCUAAAAUGUUUUCUUUGUAUCUAUGAACUCAAUGUUUUAAAACUAUGCAAUGUAAGUCAAUGUUUUAAAAUUUGGAUUGGUAUUCAAUUCAAUUUGAAUAUAUGUCAAUGCAUCAUCAAUUAUAUUAACAAGAUAUUAAUUAAUCUGCGUAAACCGUUCUUUAUUAAAAAAAAUAAAAAUGUAUGUUUGCAAAUCUUGUAUACCAUACACAAGAAACACAACAAAUUAACACAGUUUUAUAAACUCACAACAAAUUUGCUAGUUCACUUAUUGUUUAAAAACAAAAUAGAAACUUAAACUAAAAAUUUAAAUUUUUAAGAUGUAACUUUUUAUAUUUUAUUAUUUUUAAAAAAUAAAAAAUAAAAAUAUUUAUUUUAUAGAUAUAAUUUCUCUAAUACUAAGAAAAAUUAGGUGAAGUUAGGGUGCAUGGUCGACGGUGAUGAUUAAUUUAACCAUGAAGUUAAUCCUGAAUUGCGUAAUUAUCCACACUUGAUCAUUUCCCUCCCAAUGUUUUCUUUUUCAAUCAUAGUUUGUCGUCGUGGGAAAUCCUUUUUCUGACGAUGACAACUUGUUCUAUUUUCUUUUCUAUGCGUAAAUCCACCCCCGUAUGAACAAACUGAAGAUCCCAAAAUGUUAGAAGAAGAAACCCAUCAAAAAGUCAAGUUCAAAGACAAAGAAAAACUCGAGAAGCUCGGCUUUGCAACAUUUCCAUCACCACUGCCACAACCACCGCCGCUGUUGGCGCCGCCACUCCCCCAUUGCACGUGUCAUCCACCACUGGAAGAACCUCUUCCAAGUCAAUGUAUGUAGUCCGUUUUUAUUUGGCGGGUUAACCCGGUCGGAUCCAAACAGGUAAGACUGGUCCGAAGUGUGAUUCCAGUCAACAGUGGUUCCUUAUUAUAAAAAAGAAAAGAAAAAAGGGAUUUUUGGUGAUCGCCACAAAAUAAAAAAAAGAUUCAUGAUUAGAGCAGUUGACUUGAUUUCGAAUGUUACACAUCAGGCCAUGUGAUCCACACACUUCUUUACACAGACUUACUAUUCAUAUCUGCACAUGUCAUUUCACUUUGAUUCCAUAUAAAGUAUGUCUACUGUGAUUAGAUAAAUUCAUACUUGUACUAUUCUAAUUCAUCAAUUAAAUGAGUUUAGAUUUAUCACAAAAAAAAUAAUUUAAUUUAAUUUAAUUUGACAGUCACUUAGUUUGUAUGAAAUAUAUAUAUAUAUAUAUAUAUAUAUAUAUAUAUAUAUAUUCUGGCCGUUAUAAAGGACUUUAUAUAUGAUUGUCUUUUCAGAAACUUUUCCUUAAUAGUUCUUUUUAUAAUUAUUGGAUAAUUCUAACUAUUUUCAAUUUUGAAAAAUAUUUUUAAUAUUUUUUUUAAUUUUCAAGAAGCAAUCCAUAAUUACUUUGAUACCAUCAAUAAUUUUACAUUUACAUCACUUAUCACUCUUAAAAGUCAAAGUCAAUCACAUUUAAAAUAUACAUUCCUCUCUAAUUCUUUUGAGAGAUGAAACUCCAAAAUAAAAAAAUGAUAAUAACCUCAACUUAUACUUGAUCAAAACAAUAAUAUUUAAAAAUAAAAUAUCAAAAUUAGUAAAUAUGAAUUUAACUAUUUAACUGUAACUGUUUUUGGUUUUAACAAAUUAAUUGUAAUAUUUUAAAAUAAUUUAAGAAUAGAUAAUAAUAAUUUUUAAAUAAUUAAGAAUAAAAACUUUGAAAUUAAUCAUUUAAAAAUAAUUAACUAAAUCCAAUAUCUUUUUUAAAAAAAUGAAUAAUUUAGGUUUGAUUUACUUAUUUCAAUCCAAAUUUGUCUUAUCUUCAAAACAAUAUAUUCAUAACAUUUUAAAAAAAACUAUUAGUAAAUUUAAAAGGCAUAAUUUUUUUAGUGUUCAAAUGUUGAUCUAAAAGCUCAAGCGACAUAUACAAAGUAUAAUCAAAUUAAGCGAGGAGUUCUUCUUAUGUAGUGAAGAUGGGAUGUUCAAGCAACAUGUCCCUGAGUGCAAAAUCUAAGGUUAUAUAUAAUUACAGGAAAGUAUUCAACUAAAGUGUAUACUCUUUUAGUUAUCAACAAAAAAAAAUUAUAAAAAGGAUUAUAUAUAUAUAUAUGAUGUGAUCAAUUGGGAUUGUGGUAUUAAUUACAUAAAGUCAUAAAGACAAAAAAUUUCAACUUCACAAAUAGUUUAAAUAACCUAAAUUAAGUUGUUAUAUCAAUAAUAUUGUUUAUAGUAAAUUCAAAGUGUUACUUAAGAUCUCAUAUUAAAUAUAAAAAAACAAAACGAACAAUAUAUAAUUAUUAUUCGUCAAAUCUCUAUGCUAUUUUCCUUCCGGGAAAAAUUCAACACAAAAACCUACCCUUACAGAAAAGACACGGGCAAAACAAGAAGUUUGAUUUUAUCUUCUUAUAUUUUAAACAUUAUGCAUAAACUUAUGAUAACUUUACAAUUUAUUUUAAUAUCAUAAUUGUAAAAUUAAUAUUAAAUAUUUUUUUUACCGACACUAUAAAAAAAUUAUUAAAUAAAUUAAAUUUAGAGAUCAAAAUAAUUAGUUAUUAUUUAAUUAAAUUAGAUAUUAUUUUAUAAAUUAACAAAACUAUGAGUAUCUAAAGUAGUUUCUAUUAUUAAUAAAAAUUUAUAAAAUAGUUUUUAAAUUAUAUCUAACUAUUAGCUAUCAAAAUUUAGUUACUUAUUACUUUAUAUUUUAAAUUAAUUUUUAUUAAUAUUUUAGAGAUUAAUUUAAAAUUUAAAAUAUUAGUUACUAAAAUUUAGGUAACUAAUUUAGAUAUAAAUUUAAAAAUUAUUUAAUAAAUUUUUAUUAAUAAUAGAAAUCAUUUUAGACAAAUAAUUUUUUAAUCUCUAAAUUUAAAUUUAAUGUAAUUAAUAUAAUGAUUAAUUAUGUUUUUAUUUCUAAAUUUAAUUAUUAUGAUUUUCUUGUUGUAAUGGAAAAAAAGAAAAAUAUAAAAAAGAUAGUAACGUGUUUGAUUAUGCAUAUUAACUGUUCACGUGGAUUGAAAGAUGCUUACAUUGGAUAUGUUUGUUACUACUUAUUGAUUAUCGAUGAGUGCGAAGAAAUAAAAAAGAGAACCGUUGAAAGAGUUGAAAUUUUGCCUCCCCCAUUAUGACGUGGGAAGAGAAGAAAAAGAUAAGUAAUAACACAUAUAUUACUACUUUACUCAUUAUUUUAAACUUUAAACAACACUUCUCACAAUGCAUAAUCCAUUAAUUAUGACCUAUAGGAAUUAUUUAUAUAUGUAAUGUAACAAUGCUUAGGAGUAUGAUAAAUUAUGCAUUGAUGGUUUGUAAGCACAAAGGUUUUUUUGUAAUUUAAAUUUUCACUAUGGAUAAAUUUUAAUAAUAGUAGAAAAGAAAAUACUUUUAAACAUUAGAUUAAAUUCCCUCAACCAAACUAAUUGCAUAAAAAGAAGUGAUAGAAAAUAAUUAAUAUUAUAUUAUAUUAUUUAUAAUUUAAAAAUAUAUGAAAUUAAAGAAAUAUGAAAUAAAAAUUUAUUAAGCCUUAUAAAUAUUACGUAAUUUGUCCAAUUAUUUAUAAAUUUAGUCACUAUACAUUAUGAGGGUAAAAUAAUGUGAAUAAUUUAAUCAAGGAAAACAUAUUUGAUAUGUUGAAUUUUUAUUUAUAAUUUUUAAUUAAUUAUUUAAAAUUUAUUAAAUUAUAAAUGUUAUUUUUCAAUAUAUAAUUUACUAGACAUUCUUUUCUAUUUUAAAAAAGUGAUAUAAAAUUAUUUUCAAUUAAGUUUUUGGGUACUUUUACGUUACUAUAUUAGAUUGUUUUUACAUACUCGACUUUUAGAUUGCUUUUUACGUACUCAAUUAAGCAUCUUUCAAUCCACGUGAACAGUUAAUAUGCAUAAUCAAACACGUUACUAUCUUUUUUAUAUUUUUCUUUCCUCUGUUAAAAUAUAUUUAAGACUAAUUUUACAAUUAUGAUAUUGAAUUUUCUGUUUUUAUCAGAUACAAUUGUUACAUGUUUUUUAUCAUUAAUAUAGACAUAUGUAUUAGUUGGAGAUUUUUUUAUUAUUUGGGAGAAACACAUAUUUUUAAUAUUUUUUUAUACAAGUUAGAGCAUCCUUCAUUUAAUUUAUUCAAAUAAAAAAAAGUACUCGAUUACCAAAAAAAAAAGUGGAAAUUCAUUAUAUUGGUUUAAGAAGUGAAAAUUGAUUUGCAGUACAUGAUUAUGAAUAUGGGCAUUAAAUUGAUCACUAAAGAAGUACAUGGAUAUAAUUGAUUAUGCUGGCAUGCGCCUCUUCAUUCACAAAUAAAUGCAUGCAGAUUCAGAAACCAAAAAUGCUUUUAUAGAAAGUCCUUUAAUAUAUUUCAUUUGAAAUAAAUGAAGUCAAUAAGUCAAAACUUUGUGUUUUAUAUUUGUAUUUUAAGAAAUAAAUUAGAAAUUCUAAACAAUGUUUAUAUAUAUAUAUAUUAUUUGCAGUUAAAUUCAAUUAAUGGAUUGAUGUAAUGAUUAUAAAUUUAAUUUUUUUUUAAAGUAAUUUAUAUUUACUUUAAUUUUUUUAAAUAUCAUCACACUAAGAUAAAAAUAUGUUACACAUAAAAAUAUAUUGGUUUAAAUAAUUGUAAUGGCAUUUCAUAUAUAUAUAUAUAUAUUGAUAGUUAAUAUUUUUAUUCUCCUAUUUUAAACUAAUCUUAAUUUUCUUCUAUUUGAAAUUAAAACAAAUUAAUUGAAUUUUAGUUCAAUAGCAGUGAUUUUGAUUCUAUUUUAUUGCAAAAUAAUAUUAACAAAAUAAAUUAAAUUUAUAUGAAAGUAUAAAAUUAUAUUACAAAUUUAAUUGUUUUUUAAAAUCCAUGUAAUUUUUAUAAAAUAUUAUUAUUAUGAUAAAUUUAAAUUUUAUUUUAAAUUUUAUAAAUUAAUUACUUCAUAUUAAUCAUCUUUCAAUUUAAUUCAUGUUCAAUUUUAUUAAAAUUAAAUCAAUGGUAUGUUUGCAAUUUAUUAUACUACUCAAUUAAUUUUGUUCAUCAGAUUGAUCAAAUUUCCUAUAGGCUUUUCACCCAGUUACCUCAUUGUGAACUUUUCAUAUUUAUAGUUAUACUUUUUAAAUUAUAAUUAAAAUAAAAAAUAAAGUUAUAACGAAGGUUUGAAAUUAAUUUCUUGUAUUCUAUGGAUUAUAAAUUACUCAGGCUCUUGACAUAGAAAUAUAAAUUUCUUAAGAAUAAAUAUAUCCUAAUAUUUUUUAUUAUUACCUUCUAACAAAUAUAAAAAUAAUAAACAUACGUACUUUCAUAUUUGUAAUAAUAAGAAUAGCCACCUAGCGUGUACUCAUAACAGUAUGAUAAAGACAUUUACUUACUACUACUACCACCAAAUUUUAUUAGCAAAAGACUACCACUUACGAAAAGAAAUUUUCAAAUAAUUAAGUAUUUUAGUGAAAGGCUUUGUCGGAUUGUUUAGGAGGCAAUCAAGUGCUAAAAUGUAGGGCAACAAAAGAAUUAUUUUUGAACCAUUAUAAUCUAACUCCAUUACCAAAAAAAAAAAUUCUUGAAAAACUUAUAAAUAGAUUUGAUAUUAAAAGAACACACAUUAAAGAAAAGUUAUAUAAAUUGUUAUUAACUUCCACUAUCCAGAAUCAAUAAUGAGAUAAUAGGAUAGAGAGAAUGAGUGAGAUAAAGAAUAGAAAAGUUGACUAUUGAGCAGACUAAUUUGAAGUAAAGGAAUAGUAUAGAAAUAUGGAUGGAUAGAGACACGAGGAAGUGCUACAAUGUCAUGUUCCUAGCAAAACUCACCAACCACCUCUUAAGUUUUAGUCCAUCCCGUUGGGCGCCACCACACUCAGCUACCAAGAAACAACCCCAAUGCGCUCUUCCACGUGUCACAAUCCCAUACUAAGUUCCAAUCCAACGCUUCUAAUUACUUUUCAACAAACCCCAUUUCGCAUUCCUUUCAGCUACCUACCAAACACCGUUGCAUGACACCACACGAACCGCACCUCUAUAUAACUCUCCAACCAAACUCUAUUCUUCUCAGGAAAUCCUCAACACACAUCAACAUUUCCUCACUCUCUCUCUCUCUCUCUCUCUACACAAAACUCACCUCCAUUUUUUCAUUCUCUUCAUUUUAUCACGAUGGAAGCAACUACCCUUACCAACGCCCAAAACGGUUCCUUCUGCCUCCCAUCCGCCAAGACCACUGAUCCGCUCAAUUGGGGAACGGCCGCGGAGGCGCUCAAGGGGAGCCACCUCGACGAGGUCAAGCGCAUGGUGGCCGAAUACCGCCAGCCGCUGGUCCGCCUCGGCGGCGAGACGCUCACCAUCGCUCAGGUGGCGGCGGUGUCUGGCCACGACCAAGGCGUGAGGGUUGAGCUGUCGGAGUCCGCUCGGGAAGGUGUUAAGGCGAGCAGUGAGUGGGUGAUGAACAGCAUGAACAAUGGUACUGACAGUUACGGCGUCACCACCGGCUUCGGUGCCACCUCCCACCGCCGAACCAAACAAGGUGGUGCUCUGCAGAAAGAACUCAUCAGGUAACUAACUCUACUCUACUCUACUCUACUCCCUCUGUAUACACACACAUACACUCUACGUAUAUGUAUACGUUUCGUAGUCGAAUGUAUUUUCUCGGUACGGUACUCAUCAGGUUACCUAUAAUCUAACCGUUUCAUAAAUUAAUUACUACAACCUAAAACAGUAACGUUGUUCAUAUUAAAUUUUUAGUUUAUCAUUGAAUUGCCAUUUUACAUUUAAAAUAAUUUGUACAAAGUUAGUUUCAAGAUAUUGGUAUUUUUAAAAUAACUAAAAGAUCGGAACUUAAGAGAGUAGGCUUUUUGUAACGAUAGAACACUAAAAUUAUAUCAUUCUAUAAUUGUUUUUUAUAUAACCAACUAAAUAACGAGGAUUACGAAGAAACAUAUUUUUUAGAUGAAAUUCUGGUCUUUAUGAUUUAUUAGAAUUACAUUCUUAUUAAUAGAUAAAAAUAAUAUUAAAAGAUGGAGUAUAUAAAAGAAAAAAUCUACUUUGAGUGAAUUAACCGUCCCGGAAAAUAAUAAUAUUUUUGGGACAUGGGACUUUGAUGUGAAAACAGUGAUGAAGGAGUCUGAGACGGAUAAGAAAAAACAUAUAAUUUAUUAGCAUAAGGCGUCUUAAGUAGGGGAUGGGUUGGUGAGACUACUACCCAUGUUUGACUCAACUUCUUCCCAUUCAUGUCAUUUCUAAUUUUGUUUUUGUUUUAUUUUAUUUUAAGUUGGACGGCUCUUACCUAACUAUACCCAUUUAAGAAAGGAUAACAAUACAUUCAAAAUCCCAAUUUUGUAAUAAUUAUAUUCUAAUUUCUAAUACUAUACUUUUUUAUAUUAUUUAAUUAUAAAUUUAUUUUUUUAUUAUAUAUUUAUUUUUAAAUCGAUAAUGAUUCUCAAACUAUAUUCUCUUAUAAGAAAAUGCCAACCGCUAAAAAUAUUCAACUUUUAUAUCAACCAUAUCAAAAGUUAAAAGCUUUUAUACUAAAACUACUAUAUUAUAAAUGAAUAUUUCUUACACCACCAAAUAACUUUUUACACUAUCUCUCUUUUAGCUAUGGAUUCUCAUUUACCUGAACUCAUUUCAGUCUUGUCUUUAAAUGUUUUUAUAUUAAUUAUUUGUAAACAUAUAGGUAACGCGCUUUCUUUCAAGGUGGAUUUAUUUUAUAAUUCAUUUUAAACUGGAAUUCCUAAUGUAACUUUUUUUAAUCUUCUUCAGGUUUUUAAACGCUGGAAUAUUUGGAAAUGGGACUGAAUCAUCCCACACACUGCCACACACUGCAACCAGAGCAGCCAUGUUAGUGAGGAUCAACACUCUUCUUCAAGGCUACUCAGGCAUCAGAUUUGAAAUCUUAGAAUCCAUCACCAAGCUCCUUAACAACAACGUUACCCCAUGUUUGCCACUUCGUGGUACAAUCACAGCUUCUGGAGAUCUUGUUCCACUUUCCUAUAUUGCUGGUUUGCUCACUGGCAGACCUAACUCCAAAGCUGUUGGACCUUCUGGAGAAGUACUUACUGCUAAGCAAGCUUUUGAAUUGGCUAACAUCAAUUCUGAGUUCUAUGAAUUGCAACCCAAGGAAGGCCUUGCCCUUGUUAAUGGCACGGCUGUCGGUUCUGGCAUGGCUUCUAUAGUUCUCUUUGAUGCAAAUAUACUAGCUGUGUUGUCUGAAGUUCUAUCAGCUAUUUUUGCCGAAGUGAUGCAAGGGAAACCUGAGUUUACUGAUCAUUUGACACACAAGUUGAAGCACCACCCUGGUCAAAUUGAGGCUGCUGCCAUUAUGGAGCACAUUUUGGAUGGAAGUUCCUACAUGAAGGAUGCUAAGAAGCUGCAUGAAAUAGAUCCGUUGCAAAAGCCAAAACAAGAUAGAUAUGCCCUCAGAACUUCACCACAGUGGCUUGGUCCUCUCAUUGAAGUCAUUCGUUUCUCCACCAAGUCAAUUGAGAGAGAGAUUAACUCCGUGAAUGACAACCCUCUUAUUGAUGUUUCAAGGAACAAGGCAUUGCAUGGUGGUAAUUUCCAAGGAACCCCAAUUGGAGUCUCCAUGGACAACACUCGUUUGGCUCUUGCAUCUAUCGGCAAACUCAUGUUUGCUCAAUUCUCCGAGCUUGUCAAUGAUUUCUACAACAACGGUCUGCCUUCAAAUCUCACUGCUAGCAGAAAUCCUAGCUUGGAUUAUGGUUUCAAGGGAGCUGAAAUUGCCAUGGCUUCCUAUUGCUCUGAACUCCAGUAUCUGGCAAAUCCAGUAACAAGCCAUGUCCAAAGUGCUGAGCAACACAACCAAGAUGUGAACUCUUUGGGUUUGAUUUCAGCUAGGAAGACAAAUGAAUCUAUUGAGAUCCUUAAGCUCAUGUCUUCCACGUUCUUGAUGGGACUUUGCCAAGCAAUUGACUUGAGGCAUUUGGAGGAGAAUUUGAAAAGCUCGGUCAAGAACACUGUGAGUCAAGUUUCCAAGAGGACUCUUACCACAGGUGGCAACGGAGAACUCCAUCCUUCAAGAUUUUGCGAAAAGGAUCUGCUGAAAGUGGUUGACAGGGAGUAUGUAUUUUCCUACAUAGAUGACCCAUGCAGUGGUACAUACCCACUGAUGCAAAAACUUAGGCAAGUGCUUGUAGACCAUGCCUUGAUAAAUGCAGAGAAUGAGAAGGAUGUCAACACAUCAAUCUUUCAAAAGAUUGCAACCUUUGAGGAGGAGUUGAAGACCAUCUUGCCAAAGGAGGUUGAAAGUACAAGGGCUGCUUAUGAGAGUGGG
rnacentral:lncRNA from 1 species